ensembl:lncRNA
CCGGGUCAGCCAAAUCCAGGAUCAGUGAAAAAAUGACUUGCUCAUCUGUUCUGGAAUGAGAUCUUUCUUCCCACCAUUCUUAGUUAUAAAGAUAUCUUUUGUGUGGUUGUCGCUAAAUUUAAGCCCGGGCUGAGCGUAUUUAUUUGUGCACUAUCUACAUGCAUUUUAUGCAUCAGCAGUGCAUAGUGGUAGGCUGCACGCACAAUUAGGGCUUUAUGACUUUUGAAGUCACCUAAUACAAAGAUUUAUGUAUUUGCAGCAAUAAAAACCUGUGAUGGGGAUGGAUGUUUUGCAGACCUACAGCCCGAUUCUCCUUUGUGCGGUCUUGGUUUAGCUCCACUGCCUGCAGUGGCACCGAUCCUCACACCACCUGAGCGCCACAAGAACAGAAGAAGGAAACCCACCCCCAGUGCAAGCCUGGGGAGGUUGGAUCCCGCAUAGCUCACUCUUAUUUCAGACCGUAGCCCUGCGCAGAGUGGGCCUGGCAACAGGAAGGAAACCUUGCAGGAUGCUCCUUGCACCGAGCAGCUCAUGCAGCAUUGUCACCGUGUCGUGGGGGCUUCCAGGGCACCAAAAGCACAGGUGUGUGCAUGGAAGUGAAGGGAACGUAAGCUUUCGAUGAGGAGCCGGGUUAAUGGAUACUGAAGAUGGUGGUGGUAGGGAGAAUGCCUUUGGAUGGCACAGCCAUUCAUCUCAGAGACAGUUUUUUUUCCCGUGCUCUGUGAAUUUCUGUGUGACACUCAUUGAAAUGUUAACUGCCGGAAACUACCGUGGCCUUCCUCGGGUUGGUUUCUCCACCAAAGGUCAGGGCAGGCUGCCAGGACAGCUCGCCAACCGCACUGCUUUACGGAGCGGCGUUCUCAUUGACACCGCAACAGCGGUGGGCAACGGAGUGCUAGGAAAAAGUAUGCUGCUAAAGUGGGAUCACGUUUCUGGAGCAGACUACAUAGAGAAAAGGGUUAGGAAGGUUUUGUAAGGUAGAAGAGACAAAACCUGAUUUCUUCUCACCAGACUUCCAGUUGCAGGAUGUGGAUCAAAUGACUCCCGCUUAUCGCACCUCCACCCCUAAACUGAAGGAAUAAGUGCCUGAAAACUCAGCUUGUGUUACCAAAUAAAUAGCAAGAAUGUGGGAUUCCCUAUCUGUGCUGCAGGGACUGCCCUCCUUCAGCUUUCUUCUCCUUAAUAAAAAAGCUAGGGCAUCCGGUUCCUGCGCCCCACUUGGUAGCACAGCACCAGUUAACUCACAGAGCCAGUUCUUGACACGUCAGAAAAGAGCAGAUUUAAAAUUCUCUUUGCAGUCCCUGGCCUGGCACACGUGUGUUCUCACAGACUCGUCCACGACACCGCCGAACUGCAGACUUUCCCACAGGAUGCAUGCCUCAUGCUGUACAACAGGAUAAUCACGCCCAGUGGCAGAAAUAAAUUAGCAUAGCAAUCUCAAUCUGGUAUUUCCUAAUUUUCCUAAUCUCCUUCUCCUUCAGUGUUCAGCUGUGCUAAUCUAAGCAAUAUUCUUUUACAGUAAUUUCUGGACUUUGCCAUUUAAAUAUAUGUAUACGUGUUUGUGUAUCUCUCCAUCUGUCUGUGUCUGUUAAUGUAUUGGUAAACACAAAAGAAAAAGAUAAAAGCCGUUUGUUUUUAAUUCUUUCUGAACCCUUUGAUCCCUCCUUGCUUGUUUUAGCAGCUGCCCGACUGUUUUUUCUCGUAUGUAAACUUCAAAGUCACUCAGAGGUCAAAGCUUGGAUGAAGACAGACCGAGGAGAACAGCAGCGGUGAGAACACGCAGUGCGGAGAAGCCGGGGAUGUCGGUGGCAGCACAUCGCCUCCAUCGAGGUGCUGGGGAGAUGACCUACGUCUUCGACGUGGCAUGCCAUGAUCUGAGCGUCUGAUGUGGUUGUUGAGGCUUCUGUGCUCACUGGGAAAUUGUCUUGCAGAGGAGCGAAGGGCACGGCCAUGCUCUGGCGGACUUGACAUUCACUGGCUGGUCUUGGUUCAGGCAGUCUGGAAAUAGCUAAAUAGAUCACCGUGAAAAUACUGGAGAAAAACAGCUUUUUCGUGGUUUGUGUUGAAUGCAGAGGGCUUCGGGGUUGGGUGCAAGUUCGGAUAGCACUUACAAUAGCACUGAAAUUAUUUCCCACAGAUGUAUUAGCUUGCAUUUGUUGCUUCUUCCACUUCCACAGUAAAUUCCCACAGGCACUGUGGGAAGAGAGCAUCCUUCUGUAGUGCUGGGCCUCCCCACCAGGGCUAAGAAGGGUUUCAGGCUUAGGAAGUACUUGAAACGCUCCCGAUACAAGGAGCACAUCUAAUGUGUGCCUUGUUGUCCCUUGUUAACAUAACCAGAAGCCACAUUGCUCUCUGCUGCUUCUCACUCAACAACCUUUUUCUGCUGGUUCCGGGCCACUUAGCAUCAUUCUUUUCCUUAAUGAGCUUCACAUCAGUUCUCAUUUUAGCUGAGAGAAAUAAUUUUUGGGCCAGUUUCAAUGAGUUUUGCAAGAAUUAAAGUGAUACUCACUUUUUCAUUAGUGACUCUUUACCACUAACACAGCUCUGCUUACUCCUGAUUUCCGUGCCUCUACGCGUUAAUGCAAAAGCAGAGAAGAAAAAAAACAAAAACACAGCGAGAGAAAAGAAAGAAAAAGUGUUAAUGUGGGAAGAGAAAGCAAAAGUGUGAAGUGGCUCUGUGAAGAGCCACGUGGGUGCAAAGAGAAGCGACAGGGACGCAGGGAAAAGCAGCUGGAAAGCAGGAGUGUGGAGAAAAAUGAGGCUAGGAGGAGGGGUAAAGGGGAGCAGGAGUGGGAGCGGGGAGAUUAAGAAUGGUCCCAAGGGAUGGGGUAACGGGCAGGAAGGAAAGCCAAAUAAGGAGCACAGAAUCAUGUAGUUUAUGCGGUGAGAACAAGAGAUGGCCUUAACAGCAGCACUUUGCAGUGCUGGCGGACUGCAUGAUGUGUACUCAGCUUGGAGUAGCUGUCCUGGCUCUUCAGGAGGCGGCCUAGGAAAGAAGAUUAUGGCUUCAUUUGAAUCAAUUCCUAACCCGGAGUCUCUCCCUAUAAAGGAUGCUAUAAAGGAUGAGUAUCGUGUUGCACUGAAUGACAACUGGAGUGCGUUGGGGUUUGUGCAUUGUCACUGAUUCUAAUGCCUUUUGUGUUGAGCCUGCUGAAAACAAAGGUCAAGUACCAGCACAUUCUGCUUUCUGUGAGAGAUUUAAUUAAAUCCGAAGGACAAAGGCAGGGUACUGGAAACCACCACCAGUGGGAAAGAUGCUUCAUUUUGUAUUACUAUUUUUCAAUAUCAGUUUGUCCGUAGCUGCUUUGUAAUGCUGUCUUAUUUUAUUUUGGUGCGAUGACAGGAGAAUAAACAUUUAAAUAUCCAUCUGAGUCCUGCAGAUGCUACUUUCUGCAAAUAAAGCAUUUGUUCUGUACAGGCUUGGAAACAGCUGCUCAGAAACAGAGAGGAAGCGCAUGGAGAAAGAUGGGACAACUUUGGAAUGCAGUUUUGGUCCUGGCACUUCAGUGAGUGUAAAUCGUAGGGCUUGAAAUGGAC